GUGGGGAAUAUUGGACAAUGGGCGCAAGCCUGAUCCAGCCAUGUCGCGUGAGUGAUGAAGGCCCUAGGGUUGUAAAGCUCUUUCACCGGUGAAGAUAAUGACGGUAACCGGAGAAGAAGCCCCGGCUAACUUCGUGCCAGCAGCCGCGGUAAUACGAAGGGGGCUAGCGUUGUUCGGAAUUACUGGGCGGAAAGCGCACGUAGGCGGGUAUUUAAGUCAGGGGUGAAAUCCCGGAGCUCAACUCCGGAACUGCCUUUGAUACUGGGUACCUAGAGUAUGGAAGAGGUAAGUGGAAUUCCGAGUGUAGAGGUGAAAUUCGUAGAUAUUCGGAGGAACACCAGUGGCGAAGGCGGCUUACUGGUCCAUUACUGACGCUGAGGUGCGAAAGCGUGGGGAGCAAACAGGAUUAGAUACCCGAGUAGUCC
rnacentral:rRNA from 1 species